rnacentral:antisense_RNA from 1 species
AGAAUGCCUCUGACUUUUUCAUAGGACAGUUGGCCGGUGAAUCUUAUUAAUAGUUUACCACAAUUAAGUGUUCACUUUUAGUCUAGAAGGGACAGGCGUUUAUUGUGCAUUGGCCCGUGCCAGCACAUCCGAUGCAAGGCAUUUCACCGUAUUCUAUCUUUAAUUUUUACCAUGGUCCUCUGAGGUAGGUGUUCUUAUCUCUCUCUCUCUUUUAAACAGAGGAAGACACUUAAAGAUGAAGUGCUUAAUUCAAGGUCACAGAAUGUCGGGGAUGGACCUCCAGAUUUCCUUACUGGAAAACAAGCUCAGGGCUCCCACUGAUUGUACAUUAUGAGACAGAGUCUUCUUGCUAUGUUGCCCAGGCUGGUCUUGAACUCCUAACCUCAAGCGAUCCUCCCAUCUUGGCCUCCCAGGUGUCAGGAUUACAGGCAUGUGCUAUCACACCCAACCUGAUACAUUGCCUUUAUAAAUUUUUUUUUCUUUAUUCUAAAAAACAGAAAAAACAAAACUGGAUACAUGUGCAGAACAUGCAGGUUUGUUACAUAGCUGUACGUGUGCCAUGGUGGUUUGCUGCACCUAUUGACCUAUCCUGUAAGUUCCCUCCCCUCACCCCCACCCCCCAACAGCCCU